AGGGCUUCCUCCCAUCCUUUCCUCAGCCUCUUCAGUCAUCCUCAACCCCCACCUCCCAGCCUUCUCCCCAGAGCGUGCCCUGUGCCUGGGGGCUCAUGGUCUGGGACAAGCUGGGUACCCGCCCCCACCCAGUCCCCUCUGAGUGCCACCGUGGCAUUGUGCCUUUGUGGGCACCUGCUGGCACAGCCCCCACCUGCCGGGGUGGAGGCAGCUCAUUCUCUAGUGCUCUGGCCCCUCAGGGUGGGUGGAGGGCACCACUUGGGGGUCCCCCGGUCCCCAUUUCUGCUUCUCCGAGGCCUCUGUCCCUCUUCCUGCACAGAUCCUGCCCCUGUGAGACCCAGCCCCGUGGCUCUGCACCCCUGGCUCUCCUGCAGAGGAGACGGGGCUCCACCAGCCUCAGGCUCCUGCUCGCUGCAGCCCUGUGCCUGUGUCCCCUCCCCACUGGUCAUCCUCACUUGGGGACUGCAGAAUCGGCACAGGUGCCUCACCCGGCCGGGGUGACAUUCUCCACGAAUGUCACAAAUGUUCUUUCCCUCUACUUCAACCACCCAGCCCCAGGGUCACUCCUGGAUCUUGUCCUUCCUUAUCCAAAUCCCAUUUCCCAGCAUCCCAUCCUCUGAUGAUCCCUUCUUGCCCAGUCUCCUUGCUCCCAAGAUGCCUUCAUCUCAUCAAGAUUCCUGGUCCAUCAAACCUAUACUUUCUGCCUAUUAAUAAGCCUGCUCACAGGUGUCAGCUCAUUACCCACUUACAUUUCAUGGUCAUAUGCAUUGCCACCCCCUUGCUGUCCCUCUGGGAUGCUCUGGGAAGUGGGUUGUAUUAAAUUUUCCAACCUAUGUGGACCUUCCAUGUGCGAUUCUGCAAUGUGACCUUGUCACUGCCCAUUGAGAGCUGGAGUCAAACUCCCUGCCCUUGAAUCUGGACUGGUUCUUGACCUGACUGUAACUAAAAGGAUGCAGUGGAUGUAACACCCAGUGAAUUGCCAAGCUAGCUUGAAAUGACCAUGCAGCUGCCCCCUAGUUCUCUUGGGAUCCUCAUUCUGGGGAAGCCACUUAACCAAUAGGGAGUCCAAUUACCCAAAGGUCCUUGCUGGAAAAGCCACAUGCAGGCUCUUAAAUCAAUAAUAUCAGUGAACCCAGCCUUCCAGCAACCCUGCCAGGUGCCAGACAUGUGAGUGAAGCUGUCUUGGAUGCUCCAGACCAGUGAGUGACCUUCAUCAAUGCCGUGAGGAGCAGAAAAAUUAUCCAGCUGAGCCCUGACUGAAUUCACAACCUGGGAAACAUAACGAAGUUGCUGUCCUUUUAAGCCACUAGGCUUUGAUUUGCCCAGUCUUUGUAACAGGAAUAUUCUGCUUGAAGACCCCAAGAUCGGUUGGACCCAGUCUUCUGUAUCUUGUGUUGUGAUCUCUGAGCAGCUGGAGAAAAUCAGAAGCUGAGAAAGCUGAGAAACAGAUGGUGGGUGACCUGCCCCGACAGAGUAAGUGUGAGUAGGUGCAGCCAGGCUGGCCCUGCUCUACGGCCCCUUGGGAGGGGUAGAAGGUUAAUCAGCCUCCUUGGCAAUGGGAUCCCUUGGCCAAUGUGGUCAUGAUUUGGAGAAUCCCCAUCUUUUUCAUUUGCUUUCACGUUUCUGUGGCUGGAUCACCCGCUGCUGACUUGGGCACUGCCUCCCAGAAGGCAGCACCUUUUUGUGAGGCUGCCUGGAAGGUGGGGGAGCAUCUCGUUCCCCUCCCUGGAUAGAGGGAGCGGCUGCCCAGCAAGUGCCAGGAAAACACCUCCUGGUGUUGAUAAGUACCUUUGGAUGAGGGCAUCCUCGUGCUACAGGCGAGAUGUGCAUGCCCAGGGUCUCUGGGAUGUGGAGCGACAGAUGCCUUCCGCUGCAGCUGUGGCCACUCUGUCCUCCUCUUUGGAGCAGCUGCAUCAGGAUCUCCAGUGGCUUCCUGGUGAGCUGCUGUCACCCCAGGUCCCAGGUGGAGAGUGUUACUGAGCGCUGGGUGUGUGACGCAGGCAAAGGGAACUGUCUGGAUCCUUUCUGGGAAUACUGGGACAGUAGCUCUUCUCCUGAGGGCAGGAAGGGUUGAGGGUAGGAGGUGAGGAAGAGCUCAGCCGUUUUUCUACCAUGAGGACUCCCCAGUGCUGAUGACUGUCCUGCAGCUGGCUGGCCUCUGUGGUCACCAGGGGUCCACCUCCCCUCAGUGGCAGCCUGCCUCCUGCCCCUCUCCUCCAAGCCUCCGUGUGAGCCACUCCCUCUGCCUGGAACAGUCUCCCAGGGCUGGGUUUCUGCCCUUCUUUCAAGCUCAGCCCAUGACCCCUCUUUUAUGAAGCCUUUCUUGAUUACUCUGAAUUCUUAGUCUGAUUAUUGACUGUUUACAGGCUGAUAUGAUGUGUUUUCUUUAUCUACCCAACUAGAUAACAAGUCCGAGAAGGCAGGUUGGGCCUAUAUUUCUUUGUACUCUGUGGGGUACAUACGGAUGCGUGUUGUCUGAACAGAGCCAUGUGACCGGAAAUCCUGCUCUGCGUGGCUGUUUGUGGGAAGGGGACAGACGGGUGGCUGGGGACACUGUGAUGUUACACUUCCAAGUCCUGCUCUGCCGACCAGGGGACCCACCUGCCUGGGAUAUUCAUGCUCCGAGAAGUUCAGCUGGCUCAGUCUAUUGCCUCCGUCUUCUUUUCUGUCGGUUCUUCUGUAGUCAUUUCUACAUGCGUCCAGCUCCCCACUUCUCAGCUAGGGAACCAACUAACCUCCUUUCCUGAGCAGUAACUGGCUCAUGGAGUAGAUCCUUACGAGGCCCCACGAGACAGUCCCCCACUGUGGGUGCUCACUGGGUGUCACAGGUCAUGAAGGGCCCCAGGGUGGGUGAACCCAGAGGCAGAUGGGGAAACUGCUUUACCAACUAUUUACUCUGCAGCCUUUCAGAGUUAGGGUGUCUUAUGCAAGGUCGCCCCUAGACCUCUGCUGUGCCAUGCUGUGGCCACUGGCAGUGGUCUGCAUGUUUCUGGGGAGCCCACAAUAUCUGUAUAGACUCGAGGACCAAAAAUAAGCUUUGAAAGGAUUCCACUGUACAGGACAAUUUCCCACUUGGCAUGAUGUGACCUUGAGCCUGCAGACGGUCCUGAGGUGAGUAGCUGUCAUUUCUUAAUUGAAUAAAAAGUUUUGCUAAGAGCUUUUCCUCUGCAAUGAUUUUCGAUUUUCGUGUAUUUAUUGAGAUGGGAUCAGCACCAUGACUUCAUUUACAGGUGGAGAUCCCGGGGCUCUGAGAGGCAGGUGUGGCUUGCUUUCUGUCACAGAGACAUCACAGACCCAAGCGCAGACUUUGCCUUCUGCCACUGACCCACCCAGUGGACGGGCCGUUUUCCUACAGAUUCUUGAGGGAAGUGCUAACAUUUUCAGGACUCCAGGGAGGCGCCACAGUGGAGGGCUGGGCCGUGGCCUCGGGAGUCUACAGAGCUCCUUGAGCCUCUUGUUUUUCUGGGGGCCACUGAGGGAUUUCAGUUUCCUGAUGUAAGGGCUUGGGUCCCUUUAAUCCUGAAAAACCUCUGUUUUUUCAAAUCCUGUUCCCAAAAACAUUUAAAUGAGGAAGAAUAAUUAGUUCCUGCAGCAAGGGCUGUGGAAAAGCUGAGGG